UAUUUAAGACAAAAUUGUAUAGUUAAUUUUCAGCUGAGAUCUAUGUUUAGUGAUGCUGCUCUGCAUCUUCAUCCUCGGCGUUUCAAUGGAGGAGCAUUUGCUGCCAGGGUGGCUCCGAAGGUUGCUGCCAUACAAAUGAACAAACAUAACGAGCAAAGGUGAACAAACUAAGGCUGUCAACUGGUUACACAAGACAAAUGCACUGAGCUGUUUUACAAGUGGCUUGUUCAAGGAGUAUGCCAUACAUUUGUAAGAGGGAUUUCUACCUUUUUUACUCAAGGGCGACUAGGUUAUAGGAGUGUUGAUCAACAUUGUGGGUAGUGUUGGCGUGUUGCCAUAAAUUUUGGUACCAACCUUCUCAGAUUGGGUCAUGAUCAGACAACCAAUCUGGCCUGAAACUGGAAGCAAAAUCAGUAGAGAAAUCAGCCUGAAAAUACAACAGUCUACUUUCCUAGGAAGCUACAUCCAACCACUGCUUGUAUGCCUUUCAUAUACUCUCUGAGAUAUGUGACUUUCAAUAAUGAAGCGGGUAUGGGAUUUCUGUUGUUGAGGUUCAGCCUUCUUCUACAAAAAUGAAGUUCCAUGAUUAUUUGUGUUGUCCGCCGAAAGAAAAUAAAGUGCCAUGGUUUAUGCCCUCUCUCUCUGACUGAGAUCAACAAUGGUAGAAAGCAUUGGACUGUCUGUGUGUGUGUAUCUAUCUUCAUGUGCCCUUUAGUGGAACUUGGUAUUGCAGAUCAUUAAUAGGCCCAUUCGUUUAUUUAUGAAGGUAGUUUCACUGUUUAAAUUCCAGUAUAAAUGUUUAUUUCAAAGGUCUGUUUGCUGGUGUUCUAAUUUCUGCUUUGCUAGCACACUUCUAAUUUUCUUGCUGCAUCUUUGAUAGUGCCUCCAUUAUUAGAAAUUGGAGACGCAAUUGCUAAACUAUUUGGUGCUCCUGUAUCUAGACCGGCAGAAUAUGUUUUUCUUCAUAUAUUCUAUUCAUUUGUUUGAAUAAAUAGAAUAGAGAUUCUCCUAAAGACUGGUAGGGAAAAACACGAAGGAUCACCCCUAUAAUGGUAUGCAUCAGUAAUUGCCUUAGACCUGAAUGCUAUACUAUUUUAUUUACGAUGAACUUUGCGGGUGGUGUCUCAAGGGAGGCAUUGGUUGCAGGUUGCGGUCUAGAUUAAUAAUUCUCCAUCAUGAUGUUGCACCAUUCAACUGAUCAAAAGCAUGAUUCUUUUGUGAGAGGCAUUUUCUUAGUAUAACUUAGCAUAUAUGCCUGUCACAAGUUGACUUUAUGGAGCACCCUGUGUCACCCUUAUGCUUCUUAGCUAAUUUGUGUGCAGUCGUUGGAGGUACUUCCCUUGUGGCCAUUUUCUCAUAAACUGACUAGCUGUUUCUACUAAAUAGUAUCUUUCUGCUGAUAUGCUACUUGUACCAGUUAAACAUUUGAUGUUCAGAUUUUUUUUUUCCUUUGCAUUGAACAUGGGGGAGGGAUCGAUUUCCUGCUUGUGGCAGAAAAUAGUCCUCUUUUCAUAUGUUAAUUGGACUCCUCAAGCUUCAGCUGUACAGUUUAUAUUUGAAACUAUGUCUACUGAAUUGACAUCACUUUUCCAUUUGCUGCAAAAAUAAUCAUAUGAACUAUGCUUGAUACAAAAACAAUGUUAGUCUGGAGAUAGUUGGGAUUAUAAAAUAACUUAGUUUAUUUACUUUUCUAUAGCUGUAUUGCUAAAGUUUUUUUUUGUAAAAUGACUUAUUUACUAUUUCCCUCUCAAACUUUUACCUGCGUAGUUUUAUCUCCACCCAUCUAGCUUUUAGAAUGCAAACAGGUAACAAUGGAAGAAGCAGCUGUAACGCAUGGUAUAGAUGUUAAUUUGACAUGUGACUAUGUAACUUGGAUCCUUAUAUGGCUAAAGAACCGAACUAUAGAACUGAACUAUUCUUGCCUUGCUGUUUUUUUUGUGUGUUCCUGCAGCUUGUAUUAUAAGCAUGUUUUCCUAAUAUCUACGCUUCCACUGCUAACAUUUUUUUGAAGAUGUACUUGAUCAUUUGAUUGCUAAGUUGUGAAUGUUUAUCCAUGUUUUACUCAGUUGGAGAAACCUGCAGAUCCUAUCGACAAGGAGGAUGCGGAGACAAGCACACAAGAGGGGUACUCUGCUGGUGACGGAACGCUCGAGAACGCGGACUCGAAGAUGCUCGAGAACGUUGACUUGAGCCUUGGCUUCUCAAGUGGAAGUACGUAGUUGUGGCAUUUCUAGCCGUGUUGGCUGCUGUCCUCCUAUAUACUUGCUACUUGAUGUCUAUAUAUGUUAUCUCAUAACCAUGUCUUAGUACCUACGAGUAAUAUAUUUUCCUACUUGACACUUAUAAU